rnacentral:rRNA from 1 species
UUUGGGCGCGUCUCCCUUCUCGGGAGACUCUCUCAACCCCNACGAACCCUUGACCUCAAAUCGGGUGAGACUACCCGCUGAACUUAAGCAUAUCAAUAAGCGGAGGAAAAGANAACUAACAAGGAUUCCCCUAGUAACUGCGAGUGAANGCGGGAAAAGCUCAAAUUUAAAAUCUGGCGGUCCUUGGCCGUCCGAGUUGUAAUUUAGAGAAGCGUCUUCCG